rnacentral:lncRNA from 1 species
ACUCGGCGAGUCGGAUCAUGUAACGCCCGGGUUUCAGGGCUAAGCAUUUUUGUCAAUGUAAUAGUCUAGGUCAACUCUUGUAACUCUUUUUGAAGUAAUAAAGAUGAAAUAUUUGAGUAUUAUGUGAAUUAUAUGUGUUUAUUAUUUAAUUAUAAAUGUAUAAUUAAUAAAGAAUAAAAAUGAGCGUCAAAAUUAAAGUGUGAGAUAAUCCCGAUAUCUCUACAUAAAGUUGUAGAAUAUGUCUCAAGGUUUCCGUGCAUAUAAGGAACGCCGAAAUCCGAGUUAUAACGAAGAAGUUAUGACCCGUCGAAGUUUCACGACAGAACCGGCACGAUACCGGGAAGCGUGAAUAGUGAAUUUACGAUAGAGCGAGAUUUAGCCUUAGUGAUCUAAACGAAAGUCGUAGAAUAUGUUAAACUAAGAACAUCGAUAAAAAGAACGCCCAAAUCUGACUUCGUAUGAAGAAGUUAUGAGAUUUUAAACAGACCAAUCCUGUCCCGGCUUGUUAAAAAUAUAACUUUAAAAAUAAAGUCAAAAUUAGCCGACGGAGUCUAAACGAAAGUUGUAGAGUACGUCUUCACCUACGCGUGGAUAUAAAGAACGUCAAAAACGGAGUUCGUAUGAACGAGUUACAAAUUAUAAUAGCAUAUUUACGUAUUAAAAUAAAGUAUAAAUCAUGUAUACGUACACAUAUAUAUACAUAUGUAUAUAUCAUUAGAAAGGUAUCGACGAUGCGGUCAUUAUAAGACUAAUGUUGAGUUCUUUCGACAUUAGUUUAGUACAAAUAUCAUUAAAUCCAUUUAUAAUAGUAUUAUAGAGGGGUGUUUAGUUGUUUAUAUAACUAAAAGGUCAUUAAGUAAUUAUGGAGGGUAGUUUUUGAAAAUUCAAUUAGUAUAAAUAAGAGCCUUGGGCUCUCAUAUUUCUUGCACCAUUCUCUUGAUUCAAGAGUCUUUCUCUCCUUAUCCCCCGAGCAUUUCGGUCCCUCGUGAUUCGACUUCUCUUUCUGUAGCUUAGUAUAGUAAGGUGAGCGCUGAAGCGCUGCACGAAUCUUUCUUAGAAAGAUUCAGCGACGAAGUUCUGCCCCUGCAGAGCCCGACUCCUAGCUAAAACCCCCUUGUAAGUAAGUUAUGCUUACCUUAUUUUAAUAUAGCUUAUAUUUAAAAUUAGUAUUGUUAUUAUGAACUUAUAAUAAAUAUUUGAGCUAUUAUUAUAACUUAUAUAAGUGUCGUUAUAAAUUUUUUUUUAACUACUCGCGGUACGGGGAAUCUGGUUUAAAGGGCCGCAUAGGGUUGUUGGAUUUCAGAAGUGCUAUAUGCCAAAAUGGUCCUGCCCUCCGGUGUUUUAUGUCUGGCCCCUGUCUGUACAUAGUGGUUGGAAAAUAUUGUUUAACGCUUAUAUAAUAAUAAUAAUACUAAGACUAAUAGUUGGUCACGGUAAAUAUUAGACUAAAAUUUAGCGAUAAUAAUGCUAGGUUUCGUCGAAGGAAAAUAGAAUCGUUAGAAGCAAGCGCUGCCCGAUUUUGGAAUCAUCACCUUAACAAGUGAGUGCAUAGUUACUUUCAACUUACACAUAGAUAUGAAGUAUUUUAUAUAAAUUACGUGCUAUGUGUGCAUAUUAUCUGAAUACUUGCUAUCUAUGCUAGAUGAACGUUGUUAUACAUGUUUUCAAUGAUUUAAACUGUAUAUGUAUUUUAUAUCUACGAAAAUGUUGGGGUAAAACAUGGGUAGAUGCAAUAGGUGAUGUGUGAUAAAAUGAUGAGAGGCCUCGAUGUUGAUGUUGUUGAUUCUGUCAUCUAGCGGAGUAUGGAUGACGACCACGGACUCUUCUAGACAGUCCAGUGGAACACUAGCAGGCUCGCAACCUGUAGGUGUUUGUGAACGAUAUGUUCACCGGUGUACUCCAUCCCCCACAUGGUUGCCUUUAGGACAUUUAUUGCUGAGGAAUCCCCUUAGCAGUAGUGUCCGUCCCGAUGAUGAUCCUUAGGCUAGGUCCCUUAUGAUAGGUGUUUAGGGACGUAAAGUGAGGAUAACGGGAACGGGUAAUCGGGUUAUUGUUGAUCGAUGAAAUUAAUAAACUUAUUUAUUGUGGGUUGAAAACCCUAUGUGCUCACCAGGCUCCCAAGCCUGACCCACUCAGUUUUAUGUAUUACAGGUAGUGGCGCAUGAGCAUAGGUGUGAUGUUUUGGACGAGGGAUUACGGAUAUAGGCCUGUAGAUAUGAAAUAAUGUAGUAAGGCUUAUAUUGUACUGUUUAUGCUUUUGAUCUGUACGAACAUGACAUCCCGAGUCUUUUAAUGAAAUACAUUUCUAUGGAAAUGCUUUUGAUAAAUCUUUAUCAUAUUUUUGUUUUGGGACAAAUUCCGCAACACUUUCAUUUAAAAUGUAACUCUGAUUUUUAAACAAAGCAUAAACAAACCGGUCUUUUCUGGCCGUGAUUUUGGGGAUGUCACAGUUGGUAUCAGAGCAUUAGUUUAAGCGAACUAGGAAUUUGUAGGAUUUCUAGACUUAAACUUAGAAUGCUAAGCGAUGAUUGUGAGGUGUGAGCACUAGCUUAUUUUAGGAAUUGUGCCUAAAAUGCUUUUAUGUGCUAAAUGCUUUGUGCAUAAUAUGCUGUUAAUUGUUCGGAUCUAUGGUCUGUUGCCGACCGGAUCUGGAAACCUUAUGUGUUUAGGAUUCUAAACGUACGACUACGAUAUUAGAACUAGCAUGUAAACGUUUCGGAGUGAUAAGGACGAUUUAAAACGUCUAUCCUAAAUAAAGAUCUAAAUUCACCUUAUUCGGUGUAUAGAUCAAGAUGGCAAGGACCCGUAGCGGAAACGUGAACGCAAAUGGAGGUAGGAACCAACCCCCAGUGGUUCAGCAAAUACCUGUUGUUGAAGAAGUUGCACCUGAGCCAGUCACCAUGGCUGGAGUUCAAGCCAUGAUUCAGGCUAUGCUAGCUGAACAAAGGGAAGAAAUGAGACGGAUGCUCCACGAAAAUAGGGACGAACCUACCAUACAUGUUGAACCGACGGAGCCAGUUCCCGAGCCAUCUGAGGAAGGGAACUAUAGCCGCCAAGUGAGUCAAGUAGGGACUCAAGGUGAGCAAAAGGAUGGCCCAGAAGGGAGAAACAACAAGGAUGGGCGGAUGUACAAAAAUUUCUUGGGUGCGAAACCACCAAGUCUCUCAGGAAGCCCAAAGCCUGUUGAGAUUAUGGACUGGAUCUCCGAGAUGGAGAUGGUGUUUGAGAGCUGCGACUGCAGCGAGAAGCAGAAGACUGUCUUCGCUGUGAGACAAUUGAAAACUGGAGUCUUGAGCUGGUGGAAGCUAUUGGCAGAUACAAUGCCACGGGGAGAAGCUCUGAAAAUGUCAUGGGAUGAGUUCUUGGAACAACUGAAGGCGCAGUACUGUUCAGAGAUAGACCUGAUUGAUCUGAACAAUGAGUUCCAAAAUUUGAAGAAGGGGAGAAUGAGCAUCGAUGACUAUGCUGCUGCAUUUACGGAAAAGAUGAAGUUGUUUCCAUACCUAGUGCCAACCGAACUUUCCAAAAUUGAGAAAUUCGCAAACGGACUGCCGGCUGACUUUGGCCCAACAGUCAAGAUGGCAACCACUCUGAAAUCAGCUGUUCGAGCAGCUAAGAACGUGGAGACCCAACAAAAGGAAAGAGGUCUGGAGAGGGCUGAGGUUGGUGAGAAACGGAAGUUCAAUGGAUCCUCGAAGUCCAACAAGAAGAGUAGAUUCUCGAAGUCUGGUUCGAGGGGAGGAGGAUCAGAAGCGAAGUGGUGUGACAAGUGCAAGAAGAAGCACUCUGGGAAGUGUGACGGAGGGGUCACUUGUUACAAGUGCGGAAAGCCUGGGCACUACGCCAAUGAAUGCACCCUCAACCAGAAAGCCUGUUAUGGGUGCAAUGAAGAAGGGCACAUUUUGAAGGACUGCCCGAAGAAGAAGGAGACAGGAAGACCCAACAUACCACCGAAGCCGAAGGCGAGAGCCUUCCAGAUGACGCUCGAGGCUGCAAAGGAGGCAGCAGACGUCGCUUCAGGUACCUUUCUUGUAAAUGGUUUGCCUGCAAAUAUACUAUUUGAUUCCGGAGCCAACUACUCCUUUGUGUCGCAUAAAUUUGGUGGGAAAUUAGCAUUGCCUGUAGAAAAACUAGAUAAUGCCCUGAUUGUAGAAGUUGCCAGUGGCAAAUUCGUACCUGUUAGUAAUCGUAUUAGGAACAUCGUCAUUGACCUAAACGGAAACGAAUUCCACGAAGAGCUAUUACCCAUAGAGUUAAACGGUUUCGACAUCGUUUUGGGUAUGGAUUGGCUUAGCGCCAACGAUGCUGAGAUUCAAUGCCGAAAGAAGAUAGUAAAGGUAAACCCACCCGGAAAAGAAUCAUUUAUGGUGUAUGGGGACAAACGCAGAGUGAAUUCUGGAAUCAUCUCCCUGAUGAAAGCCAGGAAAUGUUUGUCCAAAGGAUGUGCAUCAUACUUGGCAUUCGUAAUCGAUGCCAAGAAGGAGAAGAAAGAGGUGCAGAAUAUACCGGUUGUGUGUGAUUAUCCGGAAGUCUUUCCCGAAGAUCUUCCCGGAUUACCACCUGAUAGGCAAGUGGAGUUUCGUAUAGACUUGUUACCAGGAACAACACCGAUAGCAAAGGCACCUUACCGAUUAGCACCGACGGAGAUGAAGGAGCUCAUGACGCAACUUCAGGAGCUGUUGGACAACGGUUUUAUUCGACCUAGUUCAUCACCCUGGGGAGCUCCGGUGUUAUUCGUGAAGAAGAAGGACGGAAGUAUGAGAAUGUGUAUAGACUACCGAGAGCUGAAUAAGGCAACGGUGAAGAACAAGUAUCCAUUGCCGAGGAUUGAUGACCUAUUCGAUCAGCUGCAAGGUUCGAGCUACUUCUCAAAGAUCGAUCUUAGGUCAGGAUAUCAUCAGCUAAAGGUGAGAAAGCAGGAUAUUGAGAAGACUGCAUUCAGAACGAGAUAUGGACACUACGAGUUCUUGGUUAUGUCAUUCGGGCUAACCAAUGCUCCCGCAGCAUUCAUGGAUUUGAUGAAUAGGGUUUGUAAACCAUUCCUCGAUAAAUCCGUGAUAGUGUUCAUCGACGACAUUCUCAUCUACUCGAAAAGCCAAGAGGAGCAUGGCAAGCAUCUACGGGAAGUAUUAGAAGUGUUGAAGAAGGAGAAGCUUUUUGCAAAGUUCUCCAAAUGCGACUUUUGGAUACGGGAAGUCCAAUUCUUGGGUCAUGUUGUUAACCAGGAGGGAAUAAUGGUUGACCCCGCAAAGAUCGAGGCUGUAAUGAAGUGGGAACGUCCAAAGAGUCCCACGGAGAUUCGAAGCUUUCUAGGAUUAGCCGGAUAUUAUCGACGAUUUAUCCAAGGCUUUUCUUCGAUAGCUGCUCCAUUAACAGCUUUGACUCAUAAAGGAGCUACGUAUACGUGGAGUGAGAAACACGAUGAGGCAUUCGAGAAGCUAAAGAAGAAGUUAUGUGAAGCACCGAUACUUUCUCUACCCGAUGGAGUCGAAGAUUUCGCGGUUUAUAGUGACGCUUCUGGAGUCGGGUUGGGUUGUGUUCUGACCCAAAGAGAAAAGGUGAUAGCAUACGCAUCUCGACAAUUGAAAGAGCACGAAAAGAACUACCCCACUCAUGAUCUGGAGUUGGCAGCGGUAGUUUUUGCCUUAAAGAUAUGGAGGCAUUACCUCUACGGCACGAAGUGCAAGCUCUUCACUGAUCAUAAGAGUCUCCAGUAUCUCUUUAAUCAGAAGGAGUUGAACAUGAGGCAACGACGCUGGCUAGAACUUCUCAAGGACUACGACUGUGAGAUACUUUACCACCCAGGUAAAGCAAAUAUUGUUGCUGAUGCUCUCAGUCGGAAAGUCAAUCUGGAAAGGAAAAGGCCAAGAGCGUUAAGAAUUGAAGUCGUCUCGACGAUUGUGGAAAGUAUCAGGAAAGCUCAAGAAGAAGCUUUAGAGAAAAAUGACCGAAAGGAAGAACGUUUGGGAAGAACGUUAGUGUUCGGUACAAACAGUCGAGGACUGAAGGUAUUCCAAGAUCGAAUUUGGGUACCUAAGACGGGAGGAAUAAGAGAUCUUCUGAUGGAAGAAGCACACAAGACCAUGUACUCGAUUCAUCCCGGUAGCACUAAAAUGUAUAGGGACCUAAAACCCUACUACUGGUGGCCGACGAUGAAGCUCGAUGUUGCGAAGUAUGUGGCCGAGUGCGUAACAUGUGCGAGGGUUAAGGCACAACAUCAGAAACCGUAUGGGAGUUUAGAACCUUUACCUGUACCCAUGGGUAAAUGGGAAGACAUCACCAUGGAUUUUGUGACUAAACUGCCCAGGACGAAGAACGGUCACGACAUGAUUUGGGUAGUCGUGGAUCGUUUCACCAAGAGUGCACACUUCAUAGCAGCCAACGAGAAGUGGUCUAUGGAUAAGCUCGCAAAUGCUUACGUGAAGGAAAUUGUAAGACUUCACGGUGUCCCUCUUACGAUUGUAUCAGAUCGUGAUAGUCGUUUCACGUCAAGGUUUUGGAGGAGUCUACAAGAGGAGUUAGGUACAAAGUUGUGUUUGAGUACUGCUUAUCAUCCGCAAACUGAUGGUCAGAGCGAAAGAACGAUUCAGACGCUGGAAGAUAUGCUGAGAGCAUGUACCCUCGAAUUCCAAGGGAAUUGGGACGAGCACUUACCUCUGGUAGAAUUUUCCUACAACAAUAGUUUUCACUCGAGCAUCAAGAUGGCUCCUUAUCAAGCCUUGUAUGGGCAGAAGUGUCGUACGCCGUCUUGUUGGCUUGAAGCCGGAGAGAAGCAGUUUAUGGGCCCCGAGAUAGUCCAUGAGACUGCUGAGAAGUUGAAGGUGAUUAGGGAAAGGAUGUUAGCAGCCCAGGAUCGUCAGAAGAGCUAUGCUGACAAGAAAAGACGACCGAUAACUUUCGAAGUUGGGGAUUCCGUUUUGCUUAAAGUCUCACCGUGGAAGGGACUUAUACGAUUUGGGAAACGAGGAAAGUUGAGUCCAAGGUUUAUUGGACCGUUCAAAGUUCUUCAGAAGAUAGGGAACCAAGCUUACAAGCUGGAAUUGCCCGAAGAACUCAAUGGUAUUCAUAACACCUUCCAUGUGUGUUAUUUGAGGAAAUUCACGGGAGAUGUUCCCGACAUAAUUCCAAUCUCAGAGUUAAGGAUGGAUGAAAAUAAAAGGUUGAUCGAAGAGCCUGAGGCAAUUGUUGACCGUAAGACUAAGAAGUUACGACGCAAGAUGGUCGACUUGGUGCUAGUCCGAUGGAAACAUUCGAAUGGGCCGAAUCUCACUUGGGAAACAGAGGAUGACAUGAUGAGUCGCUAUCCACAUCUGUUUGCUGAUGCAUGAUUCCGGGACGGAAUCAUCCUAAGGGGGAGAGAAUUGUAACGCCCGGGUUUCAGGGCUAAGCAUUUUUGUCAAUGUAAUAGUCUAGGUCAACUCUUGUAACUCUUUUUGAAGUAAUAAAGAUGAAAUAUUUGAGUAUUAUGUGAAUUAUAUGUGUUUAUUAUUUAAUUAUAAAUGUAUAAUUAAUAAAGAAUAAAAAUGAGCGUCAAAAUUAAAGUGUGAGAUAAUCCCGAUAUCUCUACAUAAAGUUGUAGAAUAUGUCUCAAGGUUUCCGUGCAUAUAAGGAACGCCGAAAUCCGAGUUAUAACGAAGAAGUUAUGACCCGUC